UACGGAGGGUGCAAGCGUUUGUCCGGAUUUAUUGGGUUUAAAGGGUGCGUAGGCGGCCCUGUAAGUCAGUGGUGAAAUACUGCAGCUUAACUGUAGCAUUGCCAUUGAUACUGCAGGGCUUGAGUACAGAUGAGGUAGGCGGAAUUGAUGGUGUAGCGGUGAAAUGCAUAGAUACCAUCAAGAACACCGAUUGCGAAGGCAGCCUACUGGAGUUUACCGACGCUCAGGCACGAAAGCGUGGGGAUCAAACAGG
rnacentral:rRNA from 1 species